AGAUGAGUCUUUGAGAAGACUGCUUGACGUAUUAAAGGUGCAACAAGGAGUGAGGGAUGGAAUGGAGACUUUGGAAGAAUGGUGACCAACUUAUUGAAUCGGCAAGGGAUGAGAAGGAGACCUUGACUUUGGCAAGGAAAAUAAAUAUGUUGGUCAGGCUAAUUGAACGUUACUUCGUCCUCACAAAGGUCACAUUCAGGGAAGUUUCUUGGCAAACUAUUAUAUUGGCAUUCACCUAGAAAUCCAACCCAAAACGUUUUGGUUACGGGCUAUAAGCUUUUAUUGAUGUGCUUUUGUUUACUCAAAAGUUUUCAUUAUACUAUUAUAAGACUCCAUAUUCUUGCAGUUUCAAUUGAGCAUCUUUCUUUCCUUUCCUCUUAACAUCAAAGUCAUAUAUGAUUAUGGAUAUGCUGUUCCAAUGUUUAGGAAGGUGGAGAAAUGAGAGCAGGAACAAAGUCUCAAGCAUGAGCAGAACCGCAGGCCGAAAUCCAUUUUGAGAGGCACAGCCUCAGGGCCAUAUUUCCGAGACAUCCAACUCAAGAGUUUUCAGUUACAGAGAGCUGAAGACUGCUACUAAGAAUUUUCAAGGCCUUCAAGAAAUGGAACCCAGAAGACUUUCAAGGCCUUAAAGAGUGGCAGGAUGAAUCACUGGUAUAAUCAAACAAUCAAUACCUUGGACAAAAGAAGAGUGGGCGGUAAAGACGCGGAAAUCAUAUAGCCAAAAUCAAAUUGACGAGGUGCGCAUUGAAGUGGCUGAUUAUAUACAGAGUUUGAUGUAGGACUGUGACUGCCAAGAUGUUUUUUGAGUAAGGCUAGCUAGUUUUGGCUUUGAAGCAAAUCUUGGUGUGGAACUUUUGUACAUUGUUGCUCAUAUGUUUCCAAGCUAGCUUUUGUAAGUUUAGGGGUUUAUUUUCUGAAUUAUGUUGAAUCAUGAAUUUGGAAAGAAAAUUAAUGGAAAGCCCCUAAUUUUGGAUGAUGAGAAAUGCAAUUUUUUUCCCAGCAAUAGCUAAAUGCAAACUUUUCACAUCAUGCUUGUCAAAAUGAA